rnacentral:rRNA from 1 species
UACGUAGGGACCUAGCGUUGUCCGGAAUCAUUGGGCGUAAAGCGCGCGUAGGCGGCCCGGUAAGUCCGUUGUAAAAGUCGAAGGCUCAACCUUCGAAAGCCGAUGGAUACUGCCGGGCUAGAGUCCGGAAGAGGCGAGUAGAAUUCCCGGUGUAGCGGUGAAAUGCGCAGAUAUCGGGAGGAACACCAAUUGCGAAGGCAGCUCGCUGGGACGUCACUGACGCUGAGACGCGAAAGCGUGGGGAGCGAACAGG